UGGCGGACGGGUGAGUAAUGUCUGGGAAACUGCCUGAUGGAGGGGGAUAACUACUGGAAACGGUAGCUAAUACCGCAUAACGUCGCAAGGCCAAAGAGGGGGACCUUCGGGCCUCUUGCCAUCGGAUGUGCCCAGAUGGGAUUAGCUAGUAGGUGGGGUAAAGGCUCACCUAGGCGACGAUCCCUAGCUGGUCUGAGAGGAUGACCAGCCACACUGGAACUGAGACACGGUCCAG
rnacentral:rRNA from 1 species